rnacentral:lncRNA from 1 species
AGGGGCGGGGCCUGCAAGAAGAGUGGAGGGCGGAGGGCAGAAGGGACUGGGGAAGGGGCGAGGCCUGGAAGAAUAGAGGCAGAGGCGGGAGCGGCCGAUCUUGGCGGAUCCCGCCUCCUCGCGACUCGGCCCCCAGGUCACAUCCCUCCGUCGGUGCCCGCCACCCACUCACCGUGGGGCUCCCGUGCGGCAGGUACACCGGGUAGUCGCGAGCGGUCUGCGGCGGCAGGGACCCCACCAGCCAGGGGAGCAGCACGGCCUCGGGCGUCCCCAGCCGCCACCAACCCUCUGUUGCUGCCACCACCCGGCCGGACACCACCAGACUGACGAAGGUCGUGCCCGCGGCCUCAGCGAACCCGGAGAGGGCUUCCUGGGUACGGGAGGCAGGAGGACUGGGAGUCAGCAGACAAGCGUAGGGGGUGGCAGCGACUUCCCAGAUGGGCAGGGAAUGGGGAGAAACCCACAGCCAGCCCCGAGCUCGCGCAGUGGCCAUGCUCCUACGUCUCACCCUCUCUGAGCCUGAGUUCCUUCACUUUCAUACGAAGUCACAUCCCCAACUCACACUGUGAAGUCUGUGAAAUCUGAUUAAACAUCUAGCCUGGGCGGGCAAACUGAAGCUAA